CGAGUGGCGGACGGGUGAGUAAUGUCUGGGAAACUGCCUGAUGGAGGGGGAUAACUACUGGAAACGGUAGCUAAUACCGCAUAACGUCGCAAGACCAAAGAGGGGGACCUUCGGGCCUCUUGCCAUCGGAUGUGCCCAGAUGGGAUUAGCUAGUAGGUGGGGUAACGGCUCACCUAGGCGACGAUCCCUAGCUGGUCUGAGAGGAUGACCAGCCACACUGGAACUGAGACACGGUCCAGACUCCUACGGGAGGCAGCAGUGGGGAAUAUUGCACAAUGGGCGCAAGCCUGAUGCAGCCAUGCCGCGUGUAUGAAGAAGGCCUUCGGGUUGUAAAGUACUUUCAGCGGGGAGGAAGGGAGUAAAGUUAAUACCUUUGCUCAUUGACGUUACCCGCAGAAGAAGCACCGGCUAACUCCGUGCCAGCAGCCGCGGUAAUACGGAGGGUGCAAGCGUUAAUCGGAAUUACUGGGCGUAAAGCGCACGCAGGCGGUUUGUUAAGUCAGAUGUGAAAUCCCCGGGCUCAACCUGGGAACUGCAUCUGAUACUGGCAAGCUUGAGUCUCGUAGAGGGGGGUAGAAUUCCAGGUGUAGCGGUGAAAUGCGUAGAGAUCUGGAGGAAUACCGGUGGCGAAGGCGGCCCCCUGGACGAAGACUGACGCUCAGGUGCGAAAGCGUGNGGAGCAAACAGGAUUAGAUACCCUGGUAGUCCACG
rnacentral:rRNA from 1 species